CUUAACCCAAGCGCAUACCUUGGAGAAAUGCCUUUGCACCCCUAUUUUCUCAAAGGUAAACCAGAGACAACCAUGUCUGCUUACGUGAUAGUGUUGUUCAGGUCAUACUAUUUAUAACCUGCACCAUAUAAGAGCACAUCUCACUCCCUAUUUAAAUUACACCAGUAUAAGAAAUUGCAGCUUGCUCUGAAGUAAGCUACACAGAGGUUUUCACUGGUGGAAGCCAGUAGGAAGUAGGGACAGAGGGAGGAGGUGGGAGGUACUGAUUGAGCAGAAACUGUCUUUGUGAUCUCUGGAACUUGCCUUACUGAUAACUGGAGGGGGAUUUUCCUAAUAGAAAACCUGUGAGCUAUAUGAGGAGGAUAAUCCACUUGACCCUUGCCCUCUGCUAAGCCUUCAAGCCAUCAUGACAUUUCAUUUCUCACCAGCUGCAAGGCCACUUAUUGGAAUUCAUUUCGAUUGCAAUGCAAAGCCAACAUUGCUCAGCCCAGGAGGAAGACCAGAAGGGGGAUGUCGGAGCAGGGCACGUGAGCAGGGACAUAGUGAUCAUAUUUGGAGAGGGUGAGAGCUGGUGGCAGCGAGGAUGAUAAACAGGGUGUGUUUAUGCAAGUGACCUUAUUUAUAUCAGCAUGCCAAGGAAGGACCAAAUGUACUGCACUGAAGGAAAGGCACUCCUAAGGAGGAGAAAGAAAACCUUCAUUUGAAACCGCAGGAAACCAAAGGCUGGGUGUAACCAGCUUCAAAUCCAGACAAGCUUCAGCGUAUAACUUCAUGUGCUACUGUUUUCAUCGUUUAGCAUAUCACAUGGAUGGGUGGCACUGUAAAAUGCACAGAGUAUCACUGUCAGAGGUGCUUUCACUGCCUGUGCAGGUCCAGACCUAAACUUGGGGAUACGAUGGGGAUAUGGUGUAAGAGGACAUGGGUGGAGGUGAAGAGGUGGGGAUGGAUGCACUUUGCAAGUCACCAAGCUCACUGCCUCUGAGAAAGUGGAAAACCUUUUCUGACAAAGAGGUUUCCAUGGGGUUUGAAGGCAAGGUGCAGCUCUGCUGGCCAGCCAUGUGUUAAGGGACCUCUGGUAGGAGAAUAUCUCCUGCUGUGAUCCCACCUAAUCUUGGGAAGCAAUGCAAGCCAGCUGUGGUGAUGCCUCUGCAAGGUGCCUUGCCAGCCAAUGCUCCCUUUCCAACACUGUACCCCAUA